rnacentral:rRNA from 1 species
AAGCGAGAUGUGAAAGCCCCGGGCUCAACCUGGGAACUGCAUUUCGAACUGGCAAACUAGAGUGUGAUAGAGGGUGGUAGAAUUUCAGGUGUAGCGGUGAAAUGCGUAGAGAUCUGAAGGAAUACCGAUGGCGAAGGCAGCCACCUGGGUCAACACUGACGCUCAUGUACGAAAGCGUGGGGAGCAAACGGGAUUAGAUACCCCGGUAGUCCACGCCGUAAACGAUGUCUACUAGAAGCUCGGAACCUCGGUUCUGUUUUUCAAAGCUAACGCAUUAAGUAGACCGCCUGGGGAGUACGGCCGCAAGGUUAAAACUCAAAUGAAUUGACGG